GGUGGGCCCCUUCGCAUGGGUCGGCGGCGAAACUGGUCAGGUCGGGAACGAAGCAGCCAUAACCGUUUAGAUUCAGUGCCGGAGUAAGGCUCACCCCU
rnacentral:SRP_RNA from 2 species